UCAUAUGCUUGUCUCAAAGAUUAAGCCAUGCAUGUCUAAGUACACGCCCUAGCACGGCGAAACCGCGAAUGGCUCAUUAAAUCAGUUAUGGUUCCUUAGAUCGUACAUAACUACUUGGAUAACUGUGGUAAUUCUAGAGCUAAUACAUGCAGCUGAGCUCCGACCUCGCGGAAGGAGUGCUUUUAUUAGACCAAGACCGACCGGGCUUCGGCUCGCAAAACGUGGUGACUCUGGAUAACUUUGGCGGAUCGCACGGUCUCGCACCGGCGACGCAUCUUUCAAGUGUCUGCCUUAUCAACUUUCGAUGGUAGGUUACGUGCCUACCAUGGUUGUAACGGGUAACGGGGAAUCAGGGUUCGAUUCCGGAGAGGGAGCCUGAGAAACGGCUACCACAUCCAAGGAAGGCAGCAGGCGCGCAAAUUACCCAAUCCCGGCUCGGGGAGGUAGUGACGAAAAAUAACAAUACGGGACUCUUUCGAGGCCUCGUAAUUGGAAUGAGUACACUUUAAAACUUUUAACGAGGAUCUAUUGGAGGGCAAGUCUGGUGCCAGCAGCCGCGGUAAUUCCAGCUCCAAUAGCGUAUAUUAAAGUUGUUGCGGUUAAAAAGCUCGUAGUUGGAUCUCGGCCGCGCCCCGAGGAUCCGCCUUUUGGCGGUCAUCUUUAGGGGCCGGCGUUCCGCUGGUCGACCCGGUUGGCCUUUAACAGCUGACCGGGCUGUCCGGCACUUUUACUUUGAAAAAAUUAGAGUGCUCAAAGCAGGCGCGACGCCUGUAUAAUGGUGCAUGGAAUAAUGGAAUAGGACCUUGGUUCUAUUUCGUUGGUUCGUAGAACCCGAGGUAAUGAUUAAGAGGGACAGACGGGGGCAUUCGUAUUGCGACGUUAGAGGUGAAAUUCUUGGAUUGUCGCAAGACGAACUACUGCGAAAGCAUUUGCCAAGAAUGUUUUCAUUAAUCAAGAACGAAAGUUAGAGGUUCGAAGGCGAUCAGAUACCGCCCUAGUUCUAACCAUAAACGAUGCCAGCUAGCGAUCCGCCACAGCUAAUACAACGGCUGGGCGGGCAGUUUCCGGGAAACCAAAGCUUUUGGGUUCCGGGGGAAGUAUGGUUGCAAAGCUGAAACUUAAAGGAAUUGACGGAAGGGCACCACCAGGAGUGGAGCCUGCGGCUUAAUUUGACUCAACACGGGGAAACUUACCCGGCCCGGACACCGGAAGGAUUGACAGAUUGAGAGCUCUUUCUUGAUUCGGUGGGUGGUGGUGCAUGGCCGUUCUUAGUUGGUGGAGUGAUUUGUCUGGUUAAUUCCGAUAACGAACGAGACUCUAGCCUACUAACUAGACGAACGAUUCGAAAGCGUCGUUCGCUCUUCUUAGAGGGACAGGCGGCGUUCAGCCGCACGAAACAGAGCAAUAACAGGUCUGUGAUGCCCUUAGAUGUCCGGGGCCGCACGCGCGCUACAAUGAAGGGAUCAGCGUGUUUUAACCUAGUCCGAAAGGACCGGGUAAUCAGUUGAAAUCCCUUCGUGUUAGGGAUAGGGGCUUGUAAUUGUUCCCCUUGAACGAGGAAUUCCCAGUAAGCGCGAGUCAUCAGCUCGCGCUGAUUACGUCCCUGCCCUUUGUACACACCGCCCGUCGCUACUACCGAUUGAAUGAUUUAGUGAGGUCUUCGGAUUGACGCGCGGAACGGCUUUCGGGUCGCCCCGCCGCGACGAAAAGAUGACCGAACUUGAUCAUUUAGAGGAAGUAAAAGUCGUAACAAGGUUGCC
rnacentral:rRNA from 3 species